rnacentral:rRNA from 1 species
GUUGAACGCUGGCGGAAUGCUUUACACAUGCAAGUCGAACGGCAGCACGGGGCAACCUGGUGGCGAGUGGCGAACGGGUGAGUAAUACAUCGGAACGUGCCCAAUCGUGGGGGAUAACGUAGCGAAAGUUACGCUAAUACCGCAUACGAUCUACGGAUGAAAGCGGGGGAUCGCAAGACCUCGCGCGAAUGGAGCGGCCGAUGUCAGAUUAGGUAGUUGGUGGGGUAAAGGCUCACCAAGCCAACGAGCUGUAGCUGGGCGGAGAGGACGACCAGGCACACUGGGACGGAGACACGGCCCAGGCUCCGGUGGGAGGCAGCAGUGGGGAAGUUUGGACAAUGGGCGCAAGCCUGAUCCGGCCAUUCCGCGUGCAGGGUGAAGGCCUUCGGGUUGUAAACUGCUUUUGUACGGAACGAAACGGUUCUCUCUAAUACAGGGGGCUAAUGACGGUACCGUAAGAAUAAGCACCGGCUAACUACGUGCCAGCCGCCGCAGUAAAAC